CAGCCGCCGCGGUAAUACAGAGGGUGCGAGCGUUAAUCGGAUUUACUGGGCGUAAAGCGUGCGUAGGCGGCUUCUUAAGUCGGAUGUGAAAUCCCUGAGCUUAACUUAGGAAUUGCAUUCGAUACUGGGAAGCUAGAGUAUGGGAGAGGAUGGUAGAAUUCCAGGUGUAGCGGUGAAAUGCGUAGAGAUCUGGAGGAAUACCGGUGGCGAAGGCGGCCCCCUGGACAAAGACUGACGCUCAGGUGCGAAAGCGUGGGGAGCAAACAGGAUUAGAUACCCGAGUAGUCCCUGUCUCUUAUAC
rnacentral:rRNA from 1 species